rnacentral:misc_RNA from 1 species
CGCACGACGCCCUUCCCGAAUGAGCGAACGCUGCCAAGGCGCUCUCCCCUCCCUCGUUGUCGAGGACUCUCCAAACAAAACCCGCUUUAUUAUGGAGGGCAUCUUGGCUGACUGUCGCACAGUAGAAAGGCAACAAGGAAGGAAAUCGAGAGGCAGGCAGGCAAAGUUAGGAGGGCCUACGUAGCGCUAGCGCCUGUCUCGUCAACAACAGCAGGCGUCGUCGUGUCGCUGCGGCACCACUCGGGCCUUUCACGCAGGCGUGCGCGCAUACAUACCAUUACACAGGGACGCGCACAGUAGAUAAGCGCACAAUCAAAAACAGAAAAUAUGUCGAGGGUGCGCGACCGCGCUUAUCUUUCCGGCGCGAAGCAGUGGCUUCUGCCCUCGCCAGUUGGUAACAGCUGAAGCUGUGUUGCCCUCCUCCUCUCUUUCGCACGGCACACGGGGUGGUGUGUUCACAGGCACGGGUCAAUGUCACGGUGGUGCUCUUCCAGCAGUUUGUGUCUGCCUCUCUGUAUUUUUUGGAGGGAGCAAUGCUCAUUGUGCUCUACCGAUGCCUCCUCUAUCCCUCUUCUUUCUCGGUUGCCCAUGCAG